rnacentral:rRNA from 1 species
UACACUCCUGCGGGAGGCAGCAGUGGGGAAUUUUGGACAAUGGGCGAAAGCCUGAUCCAGCAAUGCCGCGUGAGUGAAGAAGGCCUUCGGGUUGUAAAGCUCUUUUGUCAGGGAAGAAACGGUGAAAGCUAAUAUCUUUUGCUAAUGACGGUACCUGAAGAAUAAGCACCGGCUAACUACGUGCCAGCAGCCGCGGUAAUACGUAGGGUGCAAGCGUUAAUCGGAAUUACUGGGCGAAAAGCGUGCGCAGGCGGUUUUGUAAGUCUGAUGUGAAAUCCCCGGGCUCAACCUGGGAAUUGCAUUGGAGACUGCAAGGCUAGAAUCUAGCAGAGGGGGGUAGAAUUCCACGUGUAGCAGUGAAAUGCGUAGAUAUGUGGAGGAACACCGAUGGCGAAGGCAGCCCCCUGGGUCAAGAUUGACGCUCAUGCACGAAAGCGUGGGGAGCAAACAGGAUUAGAUACCCGAGUAGUCCCAUGAU